AAUUUUUUUAACUUAAAGAAUAAAAAAUUUAAAAAACAAAAUCUUAAAAAAAAAAAAGGAAAAAGGGAAAAUGGGGAGCAACUGGUUAAAGAAUCAGGAGUUUCUUUUUGGGUGAUAAAAAUGUUCUGCAAUUAAAUACUGGUAGUGGUUGCACAACACUGUAAAUAAAAGAAAUGCCAAUGAACUGAUCGGAAGAGCA